rnacentral:rRNA from 1 species
UUAAAAUUGUUGCAGUUAAAACGCUCGUAGUUGAAUUUCAAAGAGUCAUGGCGUUUCUGAGGUGCUCCUUGGUCGAUCUGCCCAGCACUGACUCUAUGAUUUUAUUGUAGAGCAGUGUGACUGGGUGUUCGAUUUCAAGAAAGUGUCUCCUUUACAAAGUGAUUUUUCUAAGGGUCUCUUGAGUACCAGUCCUUGGGAGGUUCUUUUUACCUUGAGUAAAUUAGAGUGUUUAAAGCAAACAGAUAGAACAAUUUACUGUGUUUAAAUACUACAGCAUGGAAUAAUAAUAUCGAAUGAGCCGACGUACUUUUCGUUUCUUUGUUAUUUUGGCUUAGUUACGAUUAACAGGAAUAGUUGGGGGCAUUUGUAUUCAGAUGUCAGAGGUGAAAUUCUAAGAUUAUCUGGAGACGAACAAUUGCGAAAGCAUCUGUCUAACAUAUUUUCAUUAAUCAAGAACGAAAGUUAAGGGAGUGAAGACGAUCAGAUACCGUCGUAAUCUUAACCAUAAACUAUGCCAACUAUGUUUUGGAUGUAUGAGAAAAAGAUGGAAUACUUUGUUUUACGACAUUGUCAUUCCAUUUAUGCUUCAUUCGGUACCUUAGAGAAAUCAAAGUCUUUGGGUUCUGGGGCGAGUAUUCGCGCAAGCGAGAAAGUUAAAAGAAUUGACGGAAGGGCACCACCAGACGUGGAGCUUGCGGCUUAAUUUGACUCAACACGGGAAAACUCACUAGUAUAAGACAAGAGUAGGAUUGACAGAUUAAUAGCUCUUUCUUGAUUUCUUGGAUGGUGAUGCAUGGCCGUUUUUAGUUCGUGAGUAUGAUUUGUCUGGUUAAUUCCGAUAACGAACGAGACCUUAACCUGCUAGUUAGCGGCCGGUAUGUCGCGAAUUUAUCAAAAUCUUAUCUCGUAGGCUGGAUUAUUUUUAGAAGAUAUGACGGAUAACCGAGUCGAGUGUCGUCCCCAUCACUGUUCUAUUAAUUCGCAGUCUGUCCUGGUUUUUUUUUAGGUAAGUAUGUAUCCGCUUGAAUGUAAGCUUCUUAGAGGUACGAUGUGUGCUUAACACAAGGAAGUUUAAGGCAACAACAGG